ensembl:lncRNA
UUUUAAUGCAGUGGGAUACUCAGCAACACAGUGUGAGCAAAUACAAACGUAGGUCAUUGACCCUUUCUUUAAUGUAAAAACAAUAUCAAUAUCAGCAUGACAUUCAUUAACAGGAGAAGGUGUUAACGACCUCAUCCAUCCCACCCACAUUACUGCACAUAGCUUCCCAAAAAAACAUUUAACAGGGUUUCUGACUGCGUUCUCAUCCCCUUCCCCUUCCUCAAGCAUAACACCAAAUAUUAAUAGCACUGCGUACUUCCACCCAAGCAGCUCAACUUCUCCAGUGAGUCACACAACGUUAAUCUGCUUUAGUGUUAUCAUUCUGCAGUUCUGUGGGGUGGAACUGCUGUUAAACAUGACUCAUAUGAUGGCAAUGGAAACAGGAAAAGAAGGAAUACAAUGCAUCCGUUAUUUAAUCCAUCCUUUCCAGAAUGCCCCGUCUGGGAUCAAUAAAGUCGAUCAAGGUUGGUGGAGGUCGAGGGGUUUUAAGAGACUAAUCAAGCACCGGACCGCCCUGCUGGCCCUCUGUCGGAGGGGUAGGAGGGGGCAGGGGGGAGGAGGGGUAGGAGAAGGGCUAGGAGGGGUAGGGGGGGGUAGGUGGGUAGGAGGGUAGUAGGGAAGGAGGGGUGGGACCUCCUUGCGGACCACUGUCCCCCCGGGGAAGUAGUUCCAUCUUUUUGCAUAUUUUUUAUUUCCAGGCACCUGCAGGUCAAGAGACCUCAACAUGAGGUAAGCUAGGUACUACUGUGUUUAACUGUUCUUAGGUUCACCAUUCCUGUGUUUGCCUAUUUUUACCGCUUAUGAGAUCAUGUCCACGCUGAAUUUGUGUCUUUAAAAGAGUCAACACGUCUUAAAAGAAGACAUAAAGAUAUUAGCUAAAAUAAGUAGGAUAAGUAGCAUCUUUUUAUUGAUUAGUAGAAGGAAACUUUCCAGAUUACACAGACUAAAUAAAAGACACUAAUCACUAAAUUCAAAUUCAAACACUCACAGAAAUGGCACUGGAUCGUGUGUGUGUGUGUGUGUGUGUUGUGUGUGUGUGUGUGUGUGUGUGUGUGUGUGUGUGUGUGUGUGU